rnacentral:rRNA from 1 species
GUGAGGAAUUUUCCGCAAUGGGCGAAAGCCUGACGGAGCAAUGCCGCGUGAAGGAUGAAUGCCUAUGGGUUGUAAACUUCUUUUCUCAGAAAAGAAUUAUGACGGUAUCUGAGGAAUAAGCAUCGGCUAACUCUGUGCCAGCAGCCGCGGUAAGACAGAGGAUGCAAGCGUUAUCCGGAAUGAUUGGGCGUAAAGCGUCUGUAGGUUGUUUAAAAAGUAUUCUGUCAAAGAUUAGGGCUUAACCCUAGAUAGGCAGAAUAAACUUUUAAGCUAGAGUUUGGUAGAGGCAGAGGGAAUUCCCGGUGGAGCGGUGAAAUGCGUAGAUAUCGGGAGGAACACCAAAGGCGAAGGCACUCUGCUGGGCCAAUACUAACACUGAGAGACGAAAGCGAGGGGAGCAAAUGGGAUUAGAAACCCUUGUAGUCC